CCCUAUACUGACAAUUAGAAAAAGCUGUGCUAAAAUUAAAAAUGGAGGAAAGGACCUUGAUCCUCACAUAGCAGUGUUGAAGUUAGAGCUGUUAGUAACAAAUCAAAUAAAACCCAUGCUGCCAAGAGAAGAGAGUAUGCUCAUCUUGCUUUCUUCAUGCACUGUGGAAGGUUGUCAGCUGCUUCUUUGAAGUUAACUAAUGAUCAUGCAAGCUGUGAAUCUGCAGUGGGAGCCAGGAUCUCCGUGGUGCUGUAGCAGCACAGCUUCCACGUGCUGUCUCUCUCCUGUUAUCUUGUGUAGUGUUAUUCAGGUCCUUUAUUCAUCUGGAAUAGAUCUUGCUGAGGCAGAGAGAGGCUGUGGGAGGAUGUUUGAGAGGAAAAGGAGUUGUGUGGUUUCCUCAUCACUCUUGCUGUUAAGCUGAAGCUGCGUUUGCAUCUGGUUCAUACUUAAUGUGUCACUACCACCGUGUGAGAGCAGCACCUCCAUGGCAGAUGAUUUGGGUUCUAGAGCCAGCUUGGCAUAGCACAUUUCUUUCCUUUUUUCCCCCCCUCUUUCUAAGAAUAAACUUCAGG